UAUGGGCUUCUGUCGGACUAUGAUGAGAACAUGGAGAUGGGAUCUAUGGAAAGUGAUGAAGAGAAAAUCUUUGAAUCUCGAAAUAUAAGAAGGUGAUUUGCGACAUCUUUGUGCCUCAUGGUCUACUAACGACUCUUAAGCCCGGCCUUCUGUCCUUGUGAUAGCACAGACUGAUUCCUGCCAUGUCUGUGUUUUGAGGGGGCAUGAGUAUUUGUGUCCUGCAUUGUACUAAUCAAGAGUGCCACCUCUUGAGGGGAAAAACUGUGCCUGAUUUGAAAAAAACAUAAAAGGCACUUAUGGUUCUCUGACCUUUGCAGAAAACACAUUCCAUCGCCACAAUGUGGACUAUUGCUGAUUUUUCUUUUUACCUUGAUCUCACAUCAUUUUGCCAAGGAGCUCUGCAAGAAGCGAACUAUUAAUAUGUGCUUUGUUGUAGACUGUGCAGGAUGUUUGAUAACAAACUUUUAUUUUUUCAAUGCGCCCUUUUUCUAGUAUGUAAAUAAAACAUUCUGUUUGUUCUC